UACGUAGGGUGCGAGCGUUAAUCGGAAUUACUGGGCGUAAAGCGUGCGCAGGCGGUUCGUUAUGUCCGAUGUGAAAGCCCCGAGCUCAACUUGGGAAUGGCAUUGGAAACUGGCGGGCUGGAGUGUGGCAGAGGGGGGUGGAAUUCCACGUGUAGCGGUGAAAUGCGUAGAUAUGUGGAGGAACACCGAUGGCGAAGGCAGCCCCCUGGGCCAAUACUGACGCUCAUGCACGAAAGCGUGGGGAGCAAACAGG
rnacentral:rRNA from 1 species